GGAUCAUGAAACUUCAUAGGUACAUUGAUCAUGACUCGCAGAUGACCCCUAUUGAUUUUGAGGUCACUAGGUCAAAGGUCAAGGUCACGGUGACCCUAAAUAGUAAAAUGGUUUCCGGAUGAUAACUCAAGAACGCAUACGCCUAGGAUCAUGAAACUUCAUGGGUAGAUUGAUCAUGACUCGCAAAUGACCCCUAUCAAUUUUGAGGUCACUAGGUCAAAUGUCAAGGUCACGGUGACCCGAAAUAGUAAAAUGGUUUCCGGAUGAUAACUCUAGAACGCAUACACCUAGGAUCAUAAAACUUCAUGGGUAGAUUGAUCAUGACUCGCAGAUGACCCCUAUCAAUUUUGAGGUCACUAGGUCAAAGGUCAAGGUCACGGUGACCCGAAAUAGUAAAAUGGUAUCUGGAUGAUAACUCAAGAACGCAUACGCCUAGGAUCAUGAAACUUCAUGGGUAGAUUGAUCAUGACUUGCACAUGACCCCUAUUGUUUUUGAGGUCACUAGGUCAAAGGUCAAGGUCACGGUGACCUGAAAUAGUAAAAUGGUUUUCGGAUGAUAACUCAAGAACGCAUACGCCUAGGAUCAUGAAACUUCAUAGGUAGAUUGAUCAUGACUCGCAGAUGACCCCUUUUGAUUUUGAGGUCACAAGGUCAAAGUUCAAGGUCACGGUGACCCGAUAUAGUAAAAUGAUUUUCGGAUGAUAACUCAAGAACGCUUUUGCCUAGGAUCAUGACACUUCAUAGGUACAUUGAUCGUGACUCGCAGAUGACCCCUAUUGAUUUUCAGGUCACUAGGUCAAAGGUCAAGGUCACAGUGACAAAAAUCGUACUCACACAAUGGCUGCCACCACAAUGGGGGGCAUGCAUGUUUUACAAACAGCCCUUGUUUUGUUUUCAUUUUUGUCAGUAUAUUGUUAUUUUUAUUCCAAUAACUAACCAAAGUUACUGUAUUCGGAACAUAUUUUAAUCAUUUAUUUAUUUUAGUUCAAUUGUUUUGUCAUUGUUAAUUUUUUCUGGACACCUUUCUCUUAUUAAUUGAUUAAUUUUAAGAUGCGUUCUUAUGCAUGAAUAUAAGUGAAGAUUUGACAGAAAGUUCAGAUGUUUGUACAUCUUAAAGCAAAAUGUGUUGUUCUCUAAUUGUGUUUUGAUUAGCUUGCUUUUAGUGUUUUUAUGGUCCCGAAGGAGGGCAUAUAGUGAUCGGACCGUCCGUCUGUCUGCCUGUCUGUCCUUCUGUCACACUUUGCGUUUAGGUUUCGAAAAAUGCUCAUAACUUCUAUGUCCCUUCACAUAGCAACUUGAUAUUUGGCAUGCAUGUGUAUCUCAUGGAGCUACACAUUUUGAGCCGUGAAAGGUCAUCCUUCAAGGUCAAUAUAUAUGGCUUCAAAGAGGCGCAGAAGGGGGCAUUGUGUUUCUGAAAAUCACAUCUCUUGUUAAGUAUAUGUUAACAUUUCUCUUGUACUUAAAUGCUUUUAUCCAUGGUUUAAAUUUUAUUUUAAAAAUUGGUCUCACUGGAAACAUAAUUUUGUCAAUUAGUGAUUGCUUGAUUGAAAUGUUUAUCUAUAUUUUGCAGACAUAUGAAUUCUUGAAUAAUUGUAUGUCAAUGCUGUAUUGUUCCAUAAUAAAACUUGAUAUCAUUUGCUAGUCCCUUAAAAAGCCAGGUACUUAAUAGCAUAUAUUCAGAUUUGUGUUGUUGAUCUGUACUCUUGUUUUCAAUUUUCUCUCUCAUUUCUUUGUUUUGUUACAGUGUCUACCUUAAGUUUUUAUGGGAAUGUUUUUGUCACUGACAUUUGACAAUAUAUUGAUAUUUUUAACUGUAUUUAUAUAAAUGUUGAUAUUUUCACAAUGAUUAACAUUCAUGUCGUAUGAUUAACAUUCAUGUCGUCCCUUGCCACUCUGAAUUACUUUGUAAAGACAUGCACACACACUUUUUAAUUCAAUAAGUAAUGUGUAUUAAGAUUUAAUUUAAAAUAUGCUAUUGUUUAUUGUUGCAUUUUUCCUGUUUUUAUUGUGAUAAUGUUUAAAAGCAUACAGUGUAUGCUGUUAAUUGAUAUAUGAUCGUUGAUGUUUAUGAUAUGUUGUUCAUGAGAUGAUGAUGAUUAUACAAUUAUUUUUUAGCUCACCUGAGCACAAAGUGUCCAUAGUGAGCUAUUGUGAUCACCCUAGGUCCGGCAUCCAUGGUCAUUCGGUGUGCGUCUUAAUUUGUUUGUUUGUUAUCUUGGUCAUGAGCAUCGAAAAAACUAGGUCAGCAUGUCACAUGUUAAAAAAUUCUUUUGAUCACUUUAGAGGUCACAUUGAUGACUCAGUGUUGAUGAAGUCAGAAUGUUAUCUUGACAAUAUGUAGGGAAGUUCAAAUCUGAGUCAUCUUGGUUUAAAAACUAGGUCACCUGGUCAAAUUAAAAUACAUUCAACCAGUCUAGAAUCAACUUUAAUGAUUAUUCAAGCUUGAUGAAACUUGAUAAGAAUGUUUAUUGUUACAAUAUAUAGGAUAAGUUUGGGUCAUGUACCUUCAAAAAACUAUGUCAUCUGGUCAGACCUAUCAGGGGGCUACAUUUUAUGCUUCAGUCUUGAUGAAACUUGUUCAGAAUGUUUAUCUCUGAAAUAUAAAAAACAUGUUUGAAUCUGAGUCAAAACUAGAUCACCUGGUCAAGUCUUCAACAUAUUGUUUCGUUGAAAUCAGGUGAGCCUUAAGGGCAUCAUGGCCCUUAUGUCCUUGUUUGAACCAGACCCUUUCUUGAGGUAGCACUCUUUUAAUGACAAAAGCAAUAGCAUAUUCUCCACAAUGUUUACAGUGAUAUGUGUUCAGUUCUGGCAAUACAGAUUCAUAUUAUAGUUGUUUCAUACACAAGCUUCUGGGCUCAUUUCAUACACAAGCUUCUAGCCUCAAAGAGUCAAUAUUGGAAUGAUAUACUUAAUGCCUUUUAACUAAUGACAUGGUUGGUACUGAACCAGUGGGGUGCAACUAACAAAUGGUUACAGGCCUACAAUUUGAAAGAUAUGUUUACUGAGAAAAAUGUGCAUUAACAGGAUACACAUAAAGGUUAUGUUAAAUUUUGUCAUUUUAUAUUUUACACAAUUAAGAUGCCAUGAAUGUUGUUAGCUUUUACAGGGACCUAUGUUGUCAUUGUCAGUGUUCAUAUUUUUGUUUUUGAAGUUUAUUUACACAUAUUUAAAAUUUUACAAUUGAAUUUUUGUGUGAAAUCACAUGUAAAAUUAAUGAGAUGUUUUAAGAUUUACUGAAAGCAUUAACUGUCAGUUUUAUAAGAUCACGUGUAAAGAAACGAACUGAAAUCCAUAAGAAAUACAGAAGAUUAUUUUUACUAGUACAUGUAUAAGAAGUUAUUUACUUCUUCAAAUGGUGAAAAAGACUUAAUCUGGUAUGAGCAUUUAUGUAUUUUUAAAAUUAAAUGUUUACUUUGAUGACAUACUGCUAAACUGCGGACUUAAAAUUAAGUCAACUAGGCUUUGUUUUUGUUUUAGAUAUGUCUGAGAAUGUAAAUAAGUUAAAAUGAAAUAAUGAAAUAGUUCAAAACACUACGCAAAACUAUAAAACAUGGCGGCUUUUGGUUAAUUGCUAUGCGAUUUAAGGUAAUGUUCAGAAAGCAUGCAAAUUUGGUUAUGGCAUUCAAAUAACCAGUGCGAUAUGAGAUAGAUCUUUGAUAAAAAAUCUUGUCUUGAAACAUUACUAAAUAAGAAUAAAGACUUUGAAUUUA